rnacentral:lncRNA from 1 species
GAAGCCCAGUUAUCAAAGUGUUAGCCACCAGGAUAUGCUUAUAUCUUCAGCCAUGUCAUCUCACAAAGACUAUCUAUAAAGGCAUAAAGGGACUUUGAUCCGUGUUGGGAGAAGGAGCAUCCACAGUAGAUCCUUGGAUGACUGAAUCACUAGUGUUAUUUCUAAUAGAGGCAGCCUGAUAGGGGAGAAGGAACAUUGGACAGGAUGCAAAAAAAAACAGGGUUCAAAUCACAGUUCCACUACUUACUGUGAGCAAAUUCUGUCUCUGAGCCUUCAUCCCCUUAUCUCUGAAAUAGGGACACUAAUUAUCUACGCUGCUGGCCUGAGAGUCAACAUGUUGGCAUAAUAUAAUAUAGAGCUGACUUCAAAGCUGCAAAGUCCCAAAUUCAAGUCUUGCUUCUAACACAUACUGGUUGUAUAACCUGGGGCAACUCAUUUAACCUUUGUGUUCUAGGCAGUUCUCUAAGGCUGUGAGGUAUGGAGAAGAGAAUGAGCAGCAGUGGUAGGAGUCCUUUCACCUAGAAGUUCUACACUGGUGAAAUCUCAUAUCAACUCCCUGUCCCUAAUGCUUAUUAUCCCCACCUCACAGGGUCGGCGAAGAUAAAAUGUGUCUAACCUUACUGGUGUUUCCAUCCAUUUGCAGACUACAGACCUCUGUACCUUCUCAGCCUCAUUUGGCUCAACAGAACAAAAGGCAAUCUUAAAGCUCCCCAUGUCCAUGUGGAAAUCAUACAAGAUUCCUCGAGAGAUGAAACCACGGCGAUAACUUUGUUCAGCAAUCUUCUGCUCAUCAGCUUGAGGCGACACAUACAGCAAGGUGUAAAGCCUUAACGAAGACCUGGGGUAAUCAGUGACCACAUCUGUACAACAAGAACAAGCCUGUGAGACUUCCAGCUGCUUUCCAGGGUUAUGGCGACCAUUAACGAGAGAAAGCCAAACUCUCCAGGCUGAAGGCAAGGCCCGGCUCUGUACAAAGGAACGUGACUGACUGUUUGCCCAAAUGGGGCCUGUUAUGUCUCACAACCUCCCACAAUUAAUCUGUAGAAUUAAGCUGUAGACACGACGCCUCUCAUACCCUUUUGUAUUGAAAUUGAAUCCAAAGAAAUUUGUCUUUGAAUCCCAGCUCUGACACUUCGAGUACUGCUGUAGAAUCCUGAGAAGUUGCUGAAACCUCUUUAAAUUUUUUUUAAAAUUCAUUUUGAGUUCUGAGUUGUCUCCCUCUUUCCCUCCCAAUCCUACA